UUGUUUAAUUCAAACAAGGGAAGGAAAAGUAGAAAAAAGGCUAUGUGGGUAAUAGUAAAGGCUCCUCGACAACAAGAUGCCAAACAAUGUGGUUACUAUGUGAUGCGAUUUAUGAGACAAAUUGUUGAAGAAGUUGAAAUUAUCGAAAGAGAUUCACUACGAUCUAUAUUCACACAAGCAGAGUAUUCUCGAGAAGAAAUUGAUGAGGUGCGAUCGGAGUUGGCAGAAUGUAUACAAGAUCAUAUUUAUGAGUAGGUGGAUACAGGACAGUCGAGAUCAGUACACUAAGGAGCGUCUGGAUUCAGUAAUUGAUCGGUACACUAAGCGUAUGGAUUCAGUAACUACUGUACUAUUUUGAGUAAACAGAUUGUUGGCUACUUCAGUAUUCAGUAUUCAGUAAAAAGAUUGUUGGCUAAACA